rnacentral:rRNA from 1 species
UAAGGAAUAUUGGACAAUGGUCGCAAGACUGAUCCAGCCAUGCCGCGUGCAGGAAGACGGCCCUAUGGGUUGUAAACUGCUUUUGUACCAGAGAAAACCUAUCUACGUGUAGAUAGCUGAUAGUAUGGUAAGAAUAAGCAUCGGCUAACUUCGUGCCAGCAGCCGCGGUAAGACGAAGGAUGCAAGCGUUAUCCGGAUUCAUUGGGUUUAAAGGGUGCGUAGGCGGGCUUGUAAGUCAGUGGUGAAAUCUCUCAGCUUAACUGAGAAACUGCCAUUGAUACUGCAGGCCUAGAGUAUAGAUGACGUUGGCGGAAUAUGACAUGUAGUGGUGAAAUACUUAGAUAUGUCAUAGAACACCGAUUGCGAAGGCUGCUAACGAAACUAUAACUGACGCUGAGGCACGAAAGUGCGGGGAUCAAACA